GACAAUGGGCGCAMKNGASUCCAGCCAUGCCGCGUGAGURAUGAAGGCCUUAGGGUUGUAAAGCUCUUUUACCAGGGAAGAUAAUGACGGUACCUGGAGAAUAAGCCCCGGCUAACUUCGUGCCAGCAGCCGCGGUAAUACGAAGGGGGCUAGCGUUGCUCGGAAUCACUGGGCGUAAAGCGCACGUAGGUGGGUCGUUAAGUCGGGGGUGAAAUCCCGGAGCUCAACUCCGGAACUGCCUUCGAUACUGGCGACCUUGGAGUCCGGGAGAGGUGAGUGGAACUGCGAGUGUAGAGGUGAAAUUCGUAGAUAUUCGCAAGAACACCAGUGGCGAAGGCGGCUCACUGGCCCGGUACUGACACUGAGGUGCGAAASGUGGGGAGCAAACAGGAUUAGAUACCCUGGUAGUCCACGCCGUAAACGAUGGAAGCUAGCCGUUGGGGAGCUUGCUCUUCAGUGGCGCASUAAACGCAUUAAGCUUCCCGCCUGGGGAGUACGGUCGCAAGAUUAAAACUCAAAGGAAUUGACGGGGGCCCGCACAAGCGGUGGAGCAUGUGGUUCAAUUCGACGCAACGCAAGAAACCUUACCA
rnacentral:rRNA from 1 species